GACGAACGCUGGCGGCGUGCUUAACACAUGCAAGUCGAACGGAAAGGCCCUGCUUGCAGGGUGCUCGAGUGGCGAACGGGUGAGUAACACGUGGGUGAUCUGCCCCUUACUUUGGGAUAAGCCUGGGAAACUGGGUCUAAUACUGGAUAGGACCAUGCUGUCGGUGGUGUGGUGGAAAGAUUAGUUUCGGUAAGGGAUGAGCUCGCGGCGUAUCAGCUUGUUGGUGGGGUAAUGGCCUACCAAGGCGUCGACGGGUAGCCGGCCUGAGAGGGGGGACGGCGACAUUGGGACUGAGAAACGACCCAGAAUCCUACGGGAGGAAGCAGUGGGGAAGAUUGCACAAUGGGGGGCAGCCUGAUGCAGCGACGCCGCGUGGGGGAUGACGGCCUUCGGGUUGUAAACUCCUUUCAGCCAUGACGAAGCCCUUGUGGUGACGGUAGUGGUAGAAGAAGCACCGGCUAACUACGUG
rnacentral:rRNA from 1 species